rnacentral:sRNA from 1 species
UCGAUCUCGGCGUGCCGUGCUCAAGGCGU